rnacentral:misc_RNA from 1 species
GAGAAGAACGUAGCGAAAUGCGAUAAGUAGUGUGAAUUGCAGAAUUCAGUGAAUCAUCGAAUCUUUGAACGCACAUUGCGCCCCUUGGUAUUCCAUGGGGCAUGCCUGUUCGAGCGUCAUUUGUACCUUCAAGCUUUGCUUGGUGUUGGGUGUUUGUCCUGAGGGACUCGCCUUAAAGUAAUUGGCAGCCAGUGUUUUGGUUUUGAAGCGCAGCACAAGUCGCGAUUCAAAGCUAUACGCCAGCUUCCACAAGCCUUUUUCACUUUUGACCUCGGAUCAGGUAGGGAUACCCGCUGAACUUAAGCAUAUCAAUAAGCGGAGGA